AAAGGGAUGGCUGAUUAGGUGAUAGAUUGUAAAUUUAUUAAUGGUUAAUUAAAACCUUCCUUUA
rnacentral:tRNA from 1 species